CUUAGGUACGUACUGGUGUUACUGGUUCCUACCUUCUGACGAACCAUCAUGUCAUUAAUUUGGUGUGGUGGGGAAUCAGGACUGUUACUUUGAAAAAAUUAGAGUGUUUAAAGCAGGCUCGCGCUUGAAUACAUUAGCAUGGAAUAAUGAAAUAGGACGUUGAUCCUAUUUUGUUGGUUUCUAGGAUUGACGUAAUGAUUAAUAGGGAUAGUUGGGGGCAUUAGUAUUCAAUUGUCAGAGGUGAAAUUCUUGGAUUUAUUGAAGACUAACUACUGCGAAAGCAUUUGCCAAGGAUGUUUUCAUUAAUCAAGAACGAAAGUUAGGGGAUCGAAGACGAUCAGAUACCGUCGUAGUCUUAACCAUAAACUAUGCCGACUAGGGAUCGGAUGAUGUUAAUUUUU
rnacentral:rRNA from 1 species